UACGGAGGGGGCGAGCGUUAUUCGGAAUUAUUGGGCGUAAAGGGCGCGUAGGCGGCUUGACAAGUCAAAGGUGAAAUCCCUCGGCUCAACUGAGGAACUGCCUUUGAAACUGUCUGGCUUGAGGCCGGGAGGGGGUAGCGGAAUUCCCAGUGUAGCGGUGAAAUGCGUAGAUAUUGGGAGGAACACCAGUGGCGAAGGCGGCUACCUGGUCCGGUACUGACGCUGAGGUGCGAAAGCGUGGGGAGCAAACAGG
rnacentral:rRNA from 1 species